rnacentral:tRNA from 1 species
GUUCUGUAGCUCAGAAGGUAGAGCACCGUGCUUAUCACACGACUGUCGCGGGUUCGAAUCCCGCCGAACG